AUAGGAAAACAAUAUCCUUCACAGUUAUUUCUAUUCUGUGAUUUCCCCAAACUAUUGUCUAGACAAGCUGAGUAGUAAUUCUGAGGGUGAUUCUGAUGAAAGUGAGCUUAUGCAAGCUAGAGAUAUUGAUGACAUCCAACACCACUGACCCAAACAUUUCCAGUACCAUGAAGAACAAAAGACUCCCCCUAUAGUAUGACUGAAAAAAAUGUGUCAAAAAGAGAAAACUGACAACAGUACAUGGAAACAGGGUAUAACAAGACAGAAACUGCAGAAACUGCACGAUGGACACUGGCAGCUGGACUGAAGGGCAGUGAGGACCCCAAGGAGUUAAAAUAUCAUGUUAAGGUGAAGUAUUCAGUGUGGUACCACAAGGAC
rnacentral:lncRNA from 1 species